GGUUGGCAUUUCGGGAUACAGGCAACUCUGAACAAAUUAUACGGCGGUGGGCUCUGUCCUGGCAAAAUUGACCAGGAACCACCUUGACAAAGGGCCUGAGGGCCUGGUCUUAAGGAGUUGCGAGCUGUCUCUCACAAGGAAGCCUUGUUGGCACUCGUGCUGAACAGCCACGUCCUCUGCAAGGGAGCGCAGAGCGUGCUGGGGAGAGAGAAGUCCCAAGAGAAGCCCAGUCUCCAUCAGGCAGUGACAAAAGAAAAAUCAAAAGCAGGGAAGAAGCUGUGGUAAAGCAAUUUAUGUCAGUACGUUCAGUAUUUUGCACGUGUCUGUCUCGUAGUAGCUGAAGAGCAGGUUUGCCUUUUUGUCUCAAUAAACCAGUGGCCCUGAAGACACCUUCUGCAAACCCCCAAAGUGCCCACAGUAUUUAAAGUCUGCACAUUAACUGCUGGUUAAUGGAGCUAGAAGUGACCCAUUUUGACGAAGGGGAUCAGAGAGCGUGCCAGAGAAACUCAAGGCGACAGCCAGUGCCCUGGCUUAUUCAGACCAGGAGAGUGCAGGAACAAAUAGUUCCAGCACAGUUAUCCUCACAAGUGGGGAGCAGCGGAGAGGGGCGCGUGGUGAGGAGGAAAGACACUUCAAUUCUCUCUUCCCUUUUGUCAUCUCAACUCGCCUUUCGUUCCUCCCUACCACUUCCACAGCAGGCUCCUGGAAAUGAUCUGAACUGCAGGCGCAAAACAGGGAGAGAUUCAGACCUUAGUCUGGUGAACACCUGAGCCCUCUGUGAGAGGGACUGCCUGGCUUUGCUGAUGUCCCUGGCUGCUGACCUUCCCUCCCCAGGCUUUCAGAAGUCUGUCAGUUCUAUGUGCCGGCAGGAGGUCAGGAUGCAGUUGCACAAAUGCUGUAAGCUGGCCGUCACUGAAAGCAGAGCUUGGUCCCCCAUUUGUUUUACAGCACGUGAAUAAACAAAGGCUUGAGCCGCUGCAGAGGAGAUGGCUACGUGGGGGAAAGGAUGCACAGCAAUCGGUAGGGGAAGAGUGAACCAGUGUGCCAACGUGUUGAACCAACGUGUGCCAGAGGCAGUCCCAGCUGACAGGGGUGUGCAUGGCUUGAGAAGAUGCAGGCAGAUGACUUGGCUGAGCCCAUCUAACACGUUGACAAUGCCAAAAGGAGAUGCUCCAGCUCACAGUUUCCUACCCUCUGCUUCUGACUGUGAGCUCCUGUCACUUUCCUCGCUGUGGAUCUGGCACUGUUAUAAUGCAAGACGACUCAAUUCACCUUGCUAAUCCAGCAGAAGUAGAGUUACUCUUUGACACUCAUUAGAUUGACGUUUGCUGUCUGACGAUACUAGAAAAGAGCUCUUCAUAAUGAGGGUCGUCAAACACUGGAACGGGUGCCUAGAGGGGCUGUGGCUUCUCCAUCCUUGGAUAUGGUCAGUGCUGGAACGGACAAGGCCCUGAGAAACCUGAUCUAACUUUGGAGUUGGAUUUAAUGUUGAAGUUGGCUCUGCCGUGUACAGGGAGUUAGACCAGCUGGCCUCCAGAGGUCCCUUCCAACCUAAGUUACUGCAUGGUAUAGAUGGGGCAGUCACGAUUCCGGUAUCUCGUGUCCUUCUUUUACACUGAGAAAUCUUCUCAUGCAUCAGUAUCCCUAGCUGAAAAUUUAUCUGUCUAACGUUAAGGUAGUCCUGUAAUUAUUAUGAAAUUUCAGUGUAUACAUUUCUAUGUAUAAGUUUCUAUGAGCAAAGCUAUCCCAGGAAGAAGUUUGGUUGGACAGUAUAAGUCAGUACUUUAAAAAUAUAUGUAUUGUAGAGUUGAUCUCAUUAUUGCUAACCAAAUAUUAUAAAGCCAGAUUAUUAAAUAUGAAUUUA